CAGUCUCCGCGGUAAUACGUAGGUGGCAAGCGUUGUCCGGAAUUAUUGGGCGUAAAGGGCUCGCAGGCGGUUUCUUAAGUCUGAUGUGAAAGCCCCCGGCUCAACCGGGGAGGGUCAUUGGAAACUGGGAAGCUUGAGUGCAGAAGAGGAGAGUGGAAUUCCACGUGUAGCGGUGAAAUGCGUAGAGAUGUGGAGGAACACCAGUGGCGAAGGCGACUCUCUGGUCUGUAACUGACGCUGAGGAGCGAAAGCGUGGGGAGCAAACAGGAUUAGAGACCCCGGUAGUCCCUGUCUCUUAUAC
rnacentral:rRNA from 1 species